GGGCUUGACAUCCCACGAACCUGCCUGAAAGGGCAGGGUGCCCGCAAGGGAGCGUGGAGACAGGUGCUGCAUGGCUGUCGUCAGCUCGUGUCGUGAGAUGUUGGGUUAAGUCCCGCAACGAGCGCAACCCUCACCCCUAGUUGCCACCGGGUAAAGCCGAGCACUCGAGGGGAACUGCCAGCGUCAAGCUGGAGGAAGGCG
rnacentral:rRNA from 1 species